rnacentral:rRNA from 1 species
CACGUAAGUUGCGAGCGUUGUUCGGAAUUAUUGGGCGUAAAGGGCAUGUAGGCGGUUAUGCAAGUCUGGUGUGAAAUUCAGGGGCCCAACCCCUGAACUGCGUUGGAAACUGCGUAACUUGAGUCACUGAGGGGCAGGCAGAAUUCCUGGUGUAGGGGUGAAAUCUGUAGAUAUCAGGAAGAAUACCAAUGGCGAAGGCAGCCUGCCAGCAGAUGACUGACGCUGAGGUGCGAAGGUGCGGGGAGCAAAC